CCUCGGCAUGGGACGCCAGACCCAGCUCCGCAGCCCAGCCUCUGGUUGCCUUUCUUUUUGGGGCGGUCGCUCUCCCCCUGCAGAGUGGGUGAAGGUCCCUCCUCCUCCAAGGAACCUGGAGGCAGUACAGCAAGAGGGGGUCCCUGGUAGCCUGUCUCCACUGGAAGUUCCGGAGAGCUGAAAGUAGAAGAAGCACCAGAGACCAGAACUGCUACAAGGGUACAAGGCUUCUGCAUAGAUGACCUUGGCCUUCUUCCAUGGAUUAACAAAGGACAUCAUGAAUCUGAGGAAGGAGACCCAAAAAUCUUUCAAGGACUCUGCCACGAGAGAACCAUCUCACUUGAUUGUGCAUCACUAGGUCACCAUAGCUUUCAGAGUAGCAGCCGGGUUAGUCUGUAUUCACAAAAAGCUCACGAAAGCUUAUGCUCAAAUAAAUUGGUUAGUCUCUAAGAUGCCACAAGUACUUCUUUUCUUUUUAGGUCAUCAUACUCUGUCUCAUAUUCUUCCAGUAAUGCUCAAAACUGUCGUUGAUUCAGCGCUCUUGAAACAAUAAAAUUGACCACCUUUACAACCAA